rnacentral:rRNA from 1 species
UCCCCUAGUAACUGCGAGUGAAGCGGGAAAAGCUCAAAUUUAAAAUCUGGCGGUCUUUGGCCGUCCGAGUUGUAGUCUGGAGAAGUGCUUUCCGCGCUGGACCGUGUACAAGUCUCUUGGAACAGAGCGUCAUAGAGGGUGAGAAUCCCGUCUUUGACACGGACUACCAGUGCUUUGUGAUGCGCUCUCAAAGAGUCGAGUUGUUUGGGAAUGCAGCUCAAAAUGGGUGGUGAAUUCCAUCUAAAGCUAAAUAUUGGCGAGAGACCGAUAGCGAACAAGUACCGUGAGGGAAAGAUGAAAAGCACUUUGGAAAGAGAGUUAAACAGUACGUGAAAUUGCUGAAAGGGAAACGCUUGAAGUCAGUCACGUUGGCCGGAACUCAGCCUUGCUUUUGCUUGGUNCACUUUCUGGUUUGACGGGUCAGCAUCAGUUUUGAUNGUCGGAUAAAGGCUGGAGGAAUGUGGCACCUUCGGGUGUGUUAUAGCCUCCAGUCACAUACGACGGUUGGGACUGAGGAUCUCAGCACGCCUUUAUGGCCGGGGUUCGCCCACGUUCGUGCUUAGGAUGCUGGCAUAAUGGCUUUAAGCGACCCGUCUUGAAACACGGACCAAGGAGUCUAACAUACCUGCGAGUGUUUGGGUGGAAAACCCGAGCGCGUAAUGAAAGUGAAAGUUGAGAUCCCUGUCGUGGGGAGCAUCGACGCCCGGACCUGACGUUCUCUGACGGCUCCGCGGUAGAGCAUGUAUGCUGGGACCCGAAAGAUGGUGAACUAUGCCUGAAUAGGGUGAAGCCAGAGGAAAC